GCGGAUGUGGCGGAACUGGCAGACGCGCCGCGCUUAGGACGCGGUGGGCAUCGUCCCUUGGGGGUUCGAGUCCCUCCAUCCGCACCU
rnacentral:tRNA from 1 species